rnacentral:rRNA from 1 species
CCUACGGGGCGCAGCAGUGGGGAAUAUUGGACAAUGGGCGAAAGCCUGAUCCAGCCAUGCCGCGUGUGUGAAGAAGGCCUUCGGGUUGUAAAGCACUUUCAGUGGGGAAGAAAGCCUUGGGGCUAAUACCCUCGAGGAAGGACAUCACCCACAGAAGAAGCACCGGCUAACUCCGUGCCAGCAGCCGCGGUAAUACGGAGGGUGCGAGCGUUAAUCGGAAUUACUGGGCGUAAAGCGCGCGUAGGCGGUCUGAUAAGCCGGUUGUGAAAGCCCCGGGCUCAACCUGGGAACGGCAUCCGGAACUGUCAGGCUAGAGUGCAGGAGAGGAAGGUAGAAUUCCCGGUGUAGCAGUGAAAUGCGUAGAGAUCGGGAGGAAUACCAGUGGCGAAGGCGGCCUUCUGGACUGACACUGACGCUGAGGUGCGAAAGCGUGGGUAGCAAACAGGAUUAGAUACCCGUGUAGUC